UGGGGAAUAUUGCACAAUGGGCGCAAGCCUGAUGCAGCCAUGCCGCGUGUGUGAAGAAGGCCUUCGGGUUGUAAAGCACUUUCAGCGGGGAGGAAGGCGGUGAGGUUAAUAACCUCACCGAUUGACGUUACCCGCAGAAGAAGCACCGGCUAACUCCGUGCCAGCAGCCGCGGUAAUACGGAGGGUGCAAGCGUUAAUCGGAAUUACUGGGCGUAAAGCGCACGCAGGCGGUUGAUUGAGUCAGAUGUGAAAUCCCCGGGCUUAACCCGGGAAUUGCAUCUGAUACUGGUCAGCUAGAGUCUUGUAGAGGGGGGUAGAAUUCCAUGUGUAGCGGUGAAAUGCGUAGAGAUGUGGAGGAAUACCGGUGGCGAAGGCGGCCCCCUGGACGAAGACUGACGCUCAGGUGCGAAAGCGUGGGGAGCAAACAGG
rnacentral:rRNA from 1 species